rnacentral:rRNA from 1 species
GCCCGACUUCACGGAGGGCCGUUAUUUAUUAAGAUAACAGCCAAUAAGACUCGCGUCUAUUGUGGUGACUCAUAGUAACUGAUCGGAUCGCAUGGGCCUGUCCCGCGACAAACCAUUCAAGUUUCUGCCCCAUCAGCUUUCGAUGGUAGUGUAUUGGACUACCAUGGCUUUUACGGGUAACGGAGGAUUAGGGUUCGAUUCCGGAGAGGGAGCCUGAGAAACGGCUACCACAUCUAAGGGAGGCAGCAGGCGCGUAAAUUACCCAAUACUAAUUCAGUGAGGUAGUG